GACGAACGCUGGCGGCGUGCUUAACACAUGCAAGUCGAACGAAGAGCGAUGGAAGCUUGCUUCUAUCAAUCUUAGUGGCGAACGGGUGAGUAACGCGUAAUCAACCUGCCCUUCAGAGAGGGACAACAGUUGGAAACGACUGCUAAUACCGCAUACGAUCUAAUCUCGGCAUCGAGGGUAGAUGAAAGGUGGCCUCUACAUGUAAGCUAUCACUGAAGGAGGGGAUUGCGUCUGAUUAGCUAGUUGGAGGGGUAACGGCCCACCAAGGCGAUGAUCAGUAGCCGGUCUGAGAGGAUGAACGGCCACAUUGGGACUGAGACACGGCCCAGACUCCUACGGGAGGCAGCAGUGGGGAAUCUUCCGCAAUGGACGAAAGUCUGACGGAGCAACGCCGCGUGAGCGAUGACGGCCUUCGGGUUGUAAAGCUCUGUUAAUCGGGACGAAAGGCCUCCUUGCGAAUAGUGAGAAGGAUUGACGGUACCGGAAUAGAAAGCCACGGCUAACUACGUG
rnacentral:rRNA from 1 species